rnacentral:rRNA from 1 species
GUACAUAAUUUUAAGUAGUAUUCAUAUAUUAUUUUUAAUUGUAUAACUAUUACAUUUAAGUCCUUCUUUAUGUACUUUUUUAAAAGUACUUAUUCGCUAAGUUAAUGUAACUCGCCUAAACUUCAGGAUAGUCUGCACCUUGAUCUGUUUUAUUAGGCCUCAACCUAGUCUGAUUAUAUAUAAUAUAUAACCUUAAGUACGACGGCAUACAAAAUUUUACUUGAAGUGGAAUUCCUUGGUGGUUAUCAAUUAUUGGGUAAGUUCCCCUAAAUAUUAAAAUUACCGUCAUGCUAUUUGAGUUUUAAUCAAUUAAGAUUUUAGUGCUCAGUAUUUUAUAGGGUGUAUUGUAUAAAAGGGUAUCUAAUCCUUGUUUAAGUUCAAUAUUUAUUUAUAUUUAAGAUUAUUAAGGAAAUUAAUAUUUAUUUCACCAAAAUAAAAUGCACUAUCUAUUUUUAUAUACUACUCGUAGUUUAUUUUCGCAAAAGUAUGACCGCGACUGCUGGCACUUUUUUAGCCACAAAAAUGUUUAAUUGGUUUAAUCUUACUUUCGUAAAGUUUUUAAAUUUUCUUAUCUGGUUAAAACCUUAAAUGUACCAUAAGUUAAUCCUAUUAAAUACAAACUAUUUCACCAU